AAUACAAUAGGGCCCGUAAGUCUCGUUUACUUUCACUUUCGAUUUACCACUUCCGGGUACAUCGGCAGACUUAUUUACCGUUACGCAUAUAGGUAACCCGAAGAACUCGAGGGAUAUAGAAGUUAAAUUUGUUUCGGUCCUCUUCAGAUUUGAAGGAAUGGAUAGCACGGGUCAAAAAAUGCAGAUGUAUAGACAAGGAGGUAUAUGACAAGUAUAGAAUAUACAGAACUUUGUUCAAUAUGGACCAUAAAUCAACUGUUUGCACUGCCUAUGAACGUGAAAUAUCUAUACAUCAAAGAUAAAAAGGGAAAAGAGGAAGGAGGAUUUGUCCAUGAAGACCUUUAUUGCAACUACCAUCUCCCAGUUCCUUAAUUUGAGAAUGAUAUCAGAGAACACACAGUUACAGUGAAAUAUUAGUUUCAUAUAAGCCACUGAGAAUAGUCAAAUGUACUUUCCUGAAGAAGAUGAAUGACAUCCAGCACAAAAAUCUUAAUGUAUAAAGAGUAUGAUUUUAUGGUGUUUGACACUAUGAUCUUGUUAACAUGUUAAUGUCACAAUGAUAGAAACAGAGUAAAAUAUCCAUAUUUCAUUGCAGUUUUAAGUAUUAAAACUAGAUACUCUAUAUAUACCAAAGCUGAUAACAUAUCAGAGAUAAGGUUUUUUCAUGGAAUCACAGUAUAGCCAUGUGACAUUUUUGACAUUAAAUGACUAUGAAGUAAAGAUUAGCAGAAAUAUUAUAUAUCAUCUACUACUAAUAUUGUGAGGUAAUCAUUGAUAAGCUCACAAAUUUGCAAUCAAAGCUUUGAUAUAUAUGCUAAGCAGUGCACUAUAAAUUGUGUAAAAAUAAAGUUUAUUAAACUUA